GUGAUCACUUCAGCAGCUUAUAUACUAAAAUUGGAAGAUUUGCAUGGCCCCUGCACAAGGAUGACAUGUCAAUAAAAUUUAUUGAUAAAAAAAUA
rnacentral:snRNA from 1 species